CACAUGCAGACUAUUUCAUAUAAUCAACUUGGUUGUACAAGUAAUUUUAACUUAAAUAACAUUAAACCGACUUUAAUAAUCAAGUUGAA